rnacentral:rRNA from 1 species
AGAGCGAACGCUGGCGGCAGGCCUAACACAUGCAAGUCGAGCGCCCGUAGCAAUACGGGAGCGGCAGACGGGAUAGUAACACGUGGGAACGCGCCCUUCGGUUCGGAAUAACUCAGGGAAACUUGAGCUAAUACCGGAUACGCCCUUACGGGGAAAGAUUUAUUGCCGAAGGAACGGCCCGCGUCCGAUUAGCUAGUUGGUGAGGUAAUGGCUCACCAAGGCGACGAUCGGUAGCUGGUCUGAGAGGAUGACCAGCAUCACUGGGACUGAGACACGGCCCAGACUUCUACGGGAGGCAGCAGUGGGGAAUAUUGGACAAUGGGCGCAAGCCUGAUCCAGCCAUGCCGCGUGGAUGAUGAAGGCCUUAGGGUUGUAAAGUCCUUUUAACGGGGAAGUAUAAUGACGGUACCGUAGAAUAAGCCCGGCUAACUUCGUGCCAGCAGCCGC